rnacentral:rRNA from 1 species
AGAGUUUGAUCAUGGCUCAGAUUGAACGCUGGCGGCAGGCCUAACACAUGCAAGUCGAGCGGAUGAAGAGAGCUUGCUCUCUGAUUCAGCGGCGGACGGGUGAGUAAUGCCUAGGAAUCUGCCUGGUAGUGGGGGACAACGUCUCGAAAGGGACGCUAAUACCGCAUACGUCCUACGGGAGAAAGCAGGGGACCUUCGGGCCUUGCGCUAUCAGAUGAGCCUAGGUCGGAUUAGCUAGUUGGUGAGGUAAUGGCUCACCAAGGCGACGAUCCGUAACUGGUCUGAGAGGAUGAUCAGUCACACUGGAACUGAGACACGGUCCAGACUCCUACGGGAGGCAGCAGUGGGGAAUAUUGGACAAUGGGCGAAAGCCUGAUCCAGCCAUGCCGCGUGUGUGAAGAAGGUCUUCGGAUUGUAAAGCACUUUAAGUUGGGAGGAAGGGUUGUAGAUUAAUACUCUGCAAUUUUGACGUUACCGACAGAAUAAGCACCGGCUAACUCUGUGCCAGCAGCCGCGGUAAUACAGAGGGUGCAAGCGUUAAUCGGAAUUACUGGGCGUAAAGCGCGCGUAGGUGGUUUGUUAAGUUGGAUGUGAAAGCCCCGGGCUCAACCUGGGAACUGCAUUCAAAACUGACAAGCUAGAGUAUGGUAGAGGGUGGUGGAAUUUCCUGUGUAGCGGCGAAAUGCGUAGAUAUAGGAAGGAACACCAGUGGCGAAUGCGACCACCUGGACUGAUACUGACACUGAGUGCGAAAGCGUGGGGAGCAAACAGGAUUAGAUACCCUGGUAGUCCACGCCGUAUACGAUGUCAACUAGCCGUUGGGAGCCUUGAGCUCUUAGUGGCGCAGCUAACGCAUUAAGUUGACCG